rnacentral:rRNA from 1 species
AUUGAACGCUGGCGGAAUGCUUUACACAUGCAAGUCGAACGGCGGCACGAGGGCAACCUUGGUGGCGAGUGGCGAACGGGUGAGUAAUACAUCGGAACGUGCCCAGUCGUGGGAGAUAACGUAGCGAAAGCUACGCUAAUACCGCAUACGAUCUAUGGAUGAAAGCGGGGGACCGUAAGGCCUCGCGCGAUUGGAGCGGCCGAUGGCAGAUUAGGUAGUUGGUGGGGUAAAGGCUCACCAAGCCUGCGAUCUGUAGCUGGUCUGAGAGGACGACCAGCCACACUGGAACUGAGACACGGUCCAGACUCCUACGGGAGGCAGCAGUGGGGAAUUUUGGACAAUGGGCGCAAGCCUGAUCCAGCCAUUCCGCGUGCAGGAUGAAGGCCUCGUGU